rnacentral:lncRNA from 1 species
UGCAGAUAGAAAUAAAGACUGAUCUCUUUCAAAUGAUUCCUAACCUCACCUUUUUUCCUAAAAACAUUCUGUGUUAUUAUUAACUGAUAUUAAUGCCACCAUCUGGUCUUCCUUAAUGACAUGUGCCAUUAAUCAGGGCUGUUAAGUUUAGCUACAUGCCCAUAUCUUUGUUGACCCUGGCUGGCAAUAAAUAUCAUCGCUGUAUAUUGCCAUAGGAAGCUGUGUAAAUCAUUCUACCAGUCAGUCAGCUGUGAGAGCUGUUUGCUCUGAAAUCCAGCACUCAAUGUGGAUUUCAAAAGAUGACAAUUUCACCUCCUGGAGCUUUCAUUGUUUCAUUUUGUGUCUUGGAAAUCGCUCUGAAUUGAUGUGAAGGUUAUAACAGAUGGGAAUGCUACAUCUGCUCUCCCACUGAACAAAAUCUUCUGGAUUAAGCAAGAAACCA